UGGAAAGAUGGUUUGCUAGACUUAGGGUUUCUAUUUAGGCAAUCAUGAUUAUAGUAGUAUAGAGACUAAGGUUGGAUAUUCUAAAACUCAAACAAAGGAAUAAUCUAUCAACUUCUGUUUGGUUAGAUUAUCUAUUGUCUAGAUCUAAGACCUCAGAUGUCGCUUGUUAGUCUUGAGAAAAUAUAUCGAUUGACGCUAUCAACGAACUGUUAAUUGAUACACCUUUUAGAUCGUCGAUCGAUACAACUACUGAGUUCUCGAUUGACGUUCGUUC
rnacentral:lncRNA from 1 species